rnacentral:rRNA from 1 species
UACGUAGGGUGCAAGCGUUGUCCGGAAUUAUUGGGCGUAAAGAGCUUGUAGGCGGUUUGUCGCGUCUGCUGUGAAAUUUCGGGGCUCAACCCCGAACUUGCAGUGGGUACGGGCAGACUAGAGUGUGGUAGGGGAGACUGGAAUUCCUGGUGUAGCGGUGAAAUGCGCAGAUAUCAGGAGGAACACCGAUGGCGAAGGCAGGUCUCUGGGCCACUACUGACGCUGAGAAGCGAAAGCAUGGUGAGCGAACAGG